UACAGAGGUCCCAAGCGUUGUUCGGAUUCACUGGGCGUAAAGGGUGCGUAGGCGGUCGGGUAAGUCUGAUGUGAAAUCUCACAGCUUAACUGUGAAACUGCAUUGGAUACUAUCCGGCUCGAGGAAUGGAGGGGAGACUGGAAUACUUGGUGUAGCAGUGAAAUGCGUAGAUAUCAAGUGGAACACCAGUGGCGAAGGCGAGUCUCUGGACAUUUCCUGACACUGAGGCACGAAGGCUAGGGGAGCAAACGGG
rnacentral:rRNA from 1 species